UUGGACUACUCGGGUUUCUAAUCCCGUUCGCUCCCCUGGCUUUCGCGCUUCAGCGUCAGUGUCGGCCCAGCAACCCGCCUUCGCCGCAGGUGUUCCUCUUGAUAUCUACGCAUUUCACCGCUACACCAAGAAUUCCAGUUGCCCCUUCCGCACUCUAGUCGCACAGUAUCAGUUGACCUUUCCGAGUUAAGCUCGGAGAUUUCACAACUGACUUGUGCUGACCGCCUACGCGCCCUUUACGCCCAGUAAAUCCGAACAACGCUUGCUCCCCCCGUAUUACCGCGGCUGCUGGCAC
rnacentral:misc_RNA from 1 species